rnacentral:lncRNA from 1 species
CUGAGAUUACAGGCAUGAACCACCGCGCCCUGCCAGCAGGUGCAUUUGAUUUAUUUUUAUUUUUUGAGACGGAGUCUCGCUCUGUCACCCAGGCUGGAGUGCAAUGGUACAAUCUCGGCUCACUGCAACUUCCACUUCCUGAGUUCAAGUGAUUCUCCUGCCUCAGCCUCCUGAGUAGCUGGGAUUACAGGCACGUGCCACCAUGCCCGCCCGGCUACUUUUUGUAUUUUUAGUAGAGAUGGAGCUUUGCUAUGUUGUUCAGGCUGGUCUCGACCUCCUGACCUUGUGAUCUGCCUGCCUCAGCCUCCCAAAGUGCUGGGAUUACAGGUGUGAGACACUGUGCCUGGCCCAGCAGGCGCAUUUUAAAAGAGCUUUUAACUCUCUGGACAAUCCCAGGAGGUAGGCAGCAUCUCUGUAUGGUCCUCAAUUUAUACAGAAAGAAACGGAGGCCCUGAGGGUGGUUCUGAGCCUAGCCUGAGGUCACAUGGCCCAGGAACGUCCACUGUGGCAUCAGGUCUGAGCUUGGGGCCUGUGCGGCCAACCACUUCCCCAUUCAGUGACAUCAGCCAGCAGUCCUCUGGGCCUCUGUGACAACCAUGCUUCCCUUUUCUGUGUUGUCUUCCUUCUGCACAGGGAGGUGCUUGAGGGCUGGGGCACUGGCUGGUGUAGCUUUGGGUCCUUGUCACCCAGUGCAGUGUGCCUGUCACCCAGGGCAGUUAGUGCUGACCAAAUGCGUAUGGAGAGGGUGGAGGCAUCUUCAAGGGGUGGGGAUCAGGUGACGAUCAUUUUCAGUAGAGAUGGGGUUUCACCGUAUUGGCCAGGUUUUUUGUUUUGUCUUUUUUUUUUGAGACAGGCUCUCUCUCUGUCACCCAGGCUGGAGUACAGUGGUGCAAUCACAACUCACUGCAGCCUCAGUUGCCACCUGAGGGCUCAAUUGAUUCUCCCACCUCAGCCUCAAAAUGUGCUGGGAUUACAGUCAUGAGCCACUGUGCCUGGCCCAAUCAUGCCUUUAUAAUGAAGCCCAUAAAAACCCAAAAGGGAUGCAGAGGGCUUCUGGAUAACUGAACUCAUGGAGCUUCCUAGAGGGUGCAGUGCCUAGAGAAGACACGGAAGCUUUGCACCCCUUCCCCCAGGCCUCCCUCUGUGUAUCUCUUAUAUCUGGCUGUUCAUAACUAUCCUUUGUAAUAUCCUAUAUCUUUAUUUUGAGACGGGGUCUCGCUAUGUUGCCCAGGUUGGUCUCAAACUCCUGUGCUCAAGUGAACCUCCCCCCUCAACCUCCUGAAGCACAGAGAUUACAGGCAUGAGCCAUGGCGCCAGGCCCUAUAAUAUCCUUUAUAAGGGGACACAUGUAAGUAAAGGGCUUCCCUGAGUUCUAGGUACCAUUCUAGAAAAUUAAUUGAACCCAAGGAGGGGAUCAUGGGAACCUCAAUUUUUAUAGCCCUGUGUCAGAAGCACAGGCACCACGUGAGCUUGCGACUGGCAUCUGAUGCUGGGGCAGCCUUGUGGAACUGAGCCCUCAACCCGUGCGAUCACAGGAAGCAGCCAAUUUGCUGUAGUAGCCGUGGCCAACACACUGUCUCUGACAGUGUUCUUGCCCCUGCCCACUCCUUCUUAACGAUUCCCUCUCAGCCAGGCAUGGUGGCUCACGCCUGUAAUUGCAGCUAUUUGGGAGACUGAGGCUGGAGGAUUGCUUGAGCCCAGGAGUUUGAGACCAGCCUGGACAACUUGGUGAAACUCCAGUACCACUAAAAAAUACAAACAUUAGCUGAGUGUGGGGGUGCACGCCUGUAAUCCCAACUACUUGGGAGGCUGAGGCAUGAGAAUGGCUUGAACCCAGGAGGCAGAGGUUGCAGUGAGCAGAGA